rnacentral:rRNA from 1 species
GUAGGGCGCGAGCGUUGUCCGGAUUUAUUGGGCGUAAAGAGCUCGUAGGCGGCUUGUCGCGUCGACUGUGAAAACCCGCAGCUCAACUGCGGGCCUGCAGUCGAUACGGGCAGGCUAGAGUUCGGUAGGGGAGACUGGAAUUCCUGGUGUAGCGGUGAAAUGCGCAGAUAUCAGGAGGAACACCGGUGGCGAAGGCGGGUCUCUGGGCCGAUACUGACGCUGAGGAGCGAAAGCGUGGGGAGCGAACAGGAUUAGAUACCCUGGUAGUCCACGCUGUAAACGUUGGGCGCUAGGUGUGGGGGGCCUCUCCGGUUCCCUGUGCCGCAGCUAACGCAUUAAGCGCCCCGCCUGGGGAGUACGGCCGCAAGGCUAAA